rnacentral:tRNA from 1 species
GGUAAAAUGGCUGAGGUUAAGCGAUAAAUUGUAAAUUUAUAAACGAAGAAAAAAGUAAUCUUCUUUUACCA